rnacentral:misc_RNA from 1 species
UUUCCGUAGGUAUGUUAUAUCAAAGUUUCUUUUGUUCGUUCCUUCCAUAAACGUAAUUUUUACUAACUAUUCUUCUCUCUAGGUGAACCUGCAGAAGGAUCAUUACUGAGUUAGGGUCUUUAUGGCCCGACCUCCAACCCUUUGUUUAAUCUACCAUGUUGCUUUGGCAGGCCCGCUUAGAAAUGGGCCGCCGGAGACCUUUGGGUCUCUGGUCAGUGCCUGCCAGUAGCCAUUCUAAAUUCAUUUAUAACUGUCUGAAUAUACAAAGAAAAAUUAAAAUAAAACUUUCAACAACGGAUCUCUUGGUUCUG